UUUCGGAUCCCCGUAGUUUCGAUCAUUUUAUCCUGCCCAACUCAAAAAGUGAUAAAUGCAUCUUAACUGCGGUGAUCUGAUU
rfam:Caenorhabditis brenneri strain PB2801 C_brenneri-6.0.1_Cont147.14, whole genome shotgun sequence.